AGCAGGUUGAGGGUACAAGUGGAGACCCACCGAAGGAAAAACCAAUUCCUCCUCAGAGAAAAACAGAAGCAAAACAAACAAAAAAACAGGACUGGAGAAUAGUUGGUUACUGUUAUUUAUACCCAGACAGGGGCUUCCCAGCCCUUUACAGCUGCCAGUAAAGGGUAUUCAAGCUUUGCGUACAGCUCUGAGCUGACCUUGAGGCCCUGUAAGGGGAAAAAUCGCUGGAGAAAAUCGCGGUCGUGCAGUGCUUUGAGAUCCUCUGAUGAGAAAGCAGGAGAGCUGUGAAGUGACCUUGUUUCGUAGAUUUCUACUCGACACCGGCAUACUGAGGGACUUUAUAGUGGGAAUAGAGUCAGUUCCCCCUCAAAUCCUACGCCGUGGAGAAGGCCUGGAGAAGCAGACAGCUGGGCUGUACAGAUUGGGAGCUGAGUUCAGUCACAUAAUCUACCAACAUCGGACAGGAGGGAAGAAUAAAAGCUGAUGUUUGUGUUGAUUUCAAGAGGGGAUUAGCAGAUUUUCUUGGCACUAGCAGGGGUUUUGCUAGAAUAGAGCAAAGGGUCAUGGGCAGCAUGAUGUAUGAGUGAGCAGAUGGGGCUGUCCUCCCACACGGUGCCCUGUGAAGGGGUGGAAACCUUCAGGCCAUGGUGAAUGGGGCUUCAGGUUCAGGAGUCUCAGG